rnacentral:rRNA from 1 species
CGACCUCGCGAGAGCAAGCGGACCUCAUAAAGUGCGUCGUAGUCCGGAUUGGAGUCUGCAACUCGACUCCAUGAAGUCGGAAUCGCUAGUAAUCGUGGAUCAGAAUGCCACGGUGAAUACGUUCCCGGGCCUUGUACACACCGCCCGUCACACCAUGGGAGUGGGUUGCAAAAGAAGUAGGUAGCUUAACCUUCGGGAGGGCGCUUACCACUUUGUGAUUCAUGACUGGGGUGAAGUCGUAACAAGGUAACCGUAGGGGAACCUGCGGUUGGAUCACC